GUGCUUGCAGCAGUGCAUAUACUAAAAUUGGACCAAUACAGAGACAAUUAACUUGGGCCCUGAGUAAGGAUGAUACACACAUUUGUGAAGCAUUCCAUAUUUUA